GAUGAACGCUGUCUACAGGCUUAACACAUGCAAGUCGAGGGGAAACGACGGGGAAGCUUGCUUCCCCGGGCGUCGACCGACGCACGGGUGAGUAACGCGUAUCCAACCUGCCUCUGACUGAGGGAUAACCCGUCGAAAGUCGGCCUAAUACCUCAUGGCAUCGUCUGCGGGCAUCCAACGACGAUUAAAGAUUUCAUCGGUCAGGGAUGGGGAUGCGUCUGAUUAGCUUGUUGGCGGGGUAACGGCCCACCAAGGCUACGAUCAGUAGGGGUUCUGAGAGGAAGGUCCCCCACAUUGGAACUGAGACACGGUCCAAACUCCUACGGGAGGCAGCAGUGAGGAAUAUUGGUCAAUGGGCGGGAGCCUGAACCAGCCAAGUAGCGUGCAGGAUGACGGCCCUAUGGGUUGUAAACUGCUUUUAUGCGGGGAUAAAGUGAGGGACGUGUCCUUCAUUGCAGGUACCGCAUGAAUAAGGACCGACUAAUUCCGUG
rnacentral:rRNA from 1 species